CGGACGGGUGAGUAACGCGUGAGCAAUCUGCCUUUAGGAGGGGGAGUAACAGUCGGAAACGGCUGCUAAUACCGCAUAAUACGUUUGGGAGGCAUCUCUUGAACGUCAAAGAUUUUAUCGCCUUUAGAUGAGCUCGCGUCUGAUUAGCUGGUUGGCGGGGUAACGGCCCACCAAGGCGACGAUCAGUAGCCGGACUGAGAGGUUGAACGGCCACAUUGGGACUGAGACACGGCCCAGACUCCUACGGGAGGCAACAUG
rnacentral:rRNA from 1 species